UGAGAAUCAACCAGGAAGCAAGCGUAAGGGCGAUUGAACUGGGGGUGACUUCGCAUGAGAAAGCUGGACAGUCAAAGAAAGGAAAAUCAGGAUUGAAGAGUGGGGCGAGGGAAGAGUUAGAAGCCGGAGGAGAAAGCAAACUGAACCCGAAAGUAAAAGAAAAAAAAUCAAUAAAGAAAAAUUUCAGAAAGCAUGCCAGAGUGAACUUGUUCCAGAAACUGCCAACAGAGGCGGGGAAAGGGGUGGGGGCGCCGAACAAACUGGAAGAACCGAAGUGAAGGAAGGAAGAGAGAGAAGACGGGAUGCAAAUUAAACCAGACACGACACAGACACAGAUAAUUCUGGAAUCACAAUGGCUGCCCAUCCUUUACUCUAAGUAAAGUAUAGGAUAUUGGUUCCAAGGAUAUGGUCUCCUCAUCACAGAUGCAUCAGGACUGCUAACAGGUGUCUGAGCUCUGUGCUUCCUCAUCCGUAACAUGAGGCUUUAGCAAGACUAACCAUGGCAGUUACUCUCAGAUCCAAGAAGGAGAAAGAUUCUCUGUGGGAGCCUACGUGAUCCUAGUUGUUAACUCCAGCAAAAGCCCCCCAUCUCCUUCCCCUUCUAGGGAAGAAACCCUAUUAACUUUU